AUAUAAGUGUAAUGUAAGUCGCUUUGGAUAAAAGCAUCUGCUAAAUGACCUGUA
rfam:Gasterosteus aculeatus cont1.013071, whole genome shotgun sequence.